CCCUCCAUUUCAGUCAACCUCACAGUUACGCGUCGGGCAACAUUCAAGGGCUUCCUGAUCAAGGCCAUUGUGGACGGGGAAGCAAAGGGCGCCUUCCUGAGAGAGAGAGACACACAACCGAUGCGUGAAUGCCCAGGAUUCGUCACACACGUGGAUGCUCGUCCGAAGACGCACGUCGCCUUUCGAUGGUUGCCGCCACGAGGCAAUGGCGCCGUCAAGUUUGUAGCAACCAUUGUGAAGGACUACAGGACAUUCUACACAAGCAUCACCAGCGUGGUAGAGGAGUAACGCAGAUAGCAGAAGUUUAUCGGACAAAAGACCACCAUCGGAGGCACACCAUGUGAGAAUAUUAACAGCUGUCGAAAAAGAUGUAUUACUGAAAAUUAUGUCCUUAAGCUUUGAAGAAAUAUCGAGGUUCUCGCACGAUAAGGCUUGCGGGAGUUUUUUGAUGCACAGCCUAUGUCAUGGUUACUGAGAGAAAUAUAACAAAAUGUUAAUAUAGAGAACACUAAAUCCUG
rnacentral:lncRNA from 1 species